rnacentral:rRNA from 1 species
UAAUACGUAGGGGGCAAGCGUUGUCCGGAUUUAUUGGGCGUAAAGAGCGUGUAGGCGGCCAGAUAGGUCCGUUGUGAAAACUCGAGGCUCAACCUCGAGACGCCGAUGGAAACCAUUUGGCUAGAGUCCGGAAGAGGAGAGUGGAAUUCCUGGUGUAGCGGUGAAAUGCGCAGAUAUCAGGAAGAACACCCGUGGCUAAGGCGGCUCUCUAGUACGGUACUGACGCUGAGACGCGAAAGCGUGGGGAGCGAACAGGAUU